AGGACGAACGCUGGCGGCGUGCCUAAUACAUGCAAGUCGAACGCUUCUUUCCUCCCGAGUGCUUGCACUCAAUUGGAAAGAGGAGUGGCGGACGGGUGAGUAACACGUGGGUAACCUACCCAUCAGAGGGGGAUAACACUUGGAAACAGGUGCUAAUACCGCAUAACAGUUUAUGCCGCAUGGCAUAAGAGUGAAAGGCGCUUUCGGGUGUCGCUGAUGGAUGGACCCGCGGUGCAUUAGCUAGUUGGUGAGGUAACGGCUCACCAAGGCCACGAUGCAUAGCCGACCUGAGAGGGUGAUCGGCCACACUGGGACUGAGACACGGCCCAGACUCCUACGGGAGGCAGCAGUAGGGAAUCUUCGGCAAUGGACGAAAGUCUGACCGAGCAACGCCGCGUGAGUGAAGAAGGUUUUCGGAUCGUAAAACUCUGUUGUUAGAGAAGAACAAGGACGUUAGUAACUGAACGUCCCCUGACGGUAUCUAACCAGAAAGCCACGGC
rnacentral:rRNA from 1 species